CCUACGGGAGGCAGCAGUAGGGAAUAUUGGACAAUGGGUGCGAGCCUGAUCCAGCCAUGCCGCGUGCAGGAAGAAGGCCUUCUGGGUUGUAAACUGCUUUUGCCGGGGGAUAAAAGACCCAUGCGUGGGGAAUUGAAGGUACCCGGUGAAUAAGCCACGGCUAACUACGUGCCAGCAGCCGCGGUAAUACGUAGGUGGCGAGCGUUGUCCGGAUUUAUGGGUUUAAAGGGUGCGUAGGCGGCCCCGUAAGUCAGUGGUGAAAUACGGCAGCUCAACUGUCGAGGUGCCAUUGAUACUGCGGGGCUUGAGUACAGUCGAGGUAGGCGGAAUUGACGGUGUAGCGGUGAAAUGCUUAGAUAUCGUCAAGAACACCGAUAGCGAAGGCAGCUUGCUAGGCUGUAACUGACGCUGAGGCACGAAAGUGCGGGGAUCAAACAGGAUUAGAUACCCUGGUAGUCCGCACAGUAAACGAUGGUCACUCGGUGUUGGCGGUACACGGCCAGCGCCUUAGCGAAAGCGUUAAGUGACCACCUGGGGAGUACGCCGCAGGUGAAACUCAAAGGAUUGACGG
rnacentral:rRNA from 1 species